CCUGGGACUAACCGGUGCACCACCCCUGACUGCUGAAAGUUCUGGUUCCCGGGUUUCGGCACCACUUGUCGCGACCCCUUGCCCGCAAGGAAGACGCAACUCAGGAAUCUUCUUUCAGCAGUUUAUUCAGGCCUUUGAUAUUUCUUCUUCUCUCCCUCGGAUGCCCCUCCCAGCCUUAAUAAAGCAUCUCAAGCCCCAAUGCGAA
rnacentral:lncRNA from 1 species